rnacentral:tRNA from 1 species
GCCGGCGUAGCUCAAUUGGCAGAGCAGCUGACUUGUAAUCAGCAGGUCCCCGGUUCGAAUCCGGGUGCCGGCUCCA